CCGCAUGGACUUAUGACUGGAGGAUUUCAACUGUGGGGUCAAGGAUACACUGGUUCUGUCUCACUGUCUCUCUGCAGCAGAACAGGACCCAUGAUGACUCCCAGGGAGAGACAUACGCCCACGUGACCCGCUCACCAUCAAAGUUCAGGCAGGGAAUAGCAUCCUCACCUUCCCCCCUAUCAGAGGAAUUGCUGGACAUGAAGGACAGACAAGCAGAAGAAGACACACACAUGGACAGUCAGGCUGCUGCCUCUGCUGCCCCCCAGGAUGUGACCUACGCCCAGCUGACCCACUUGGCCAUCAGACAGGAGGCAAGUGCACCCUCUUCCUCCCCAUCAGAGGAGCCCCCAGAUGGGUCCAGUGUGUAUGCUGCUCUGGCUGUCCACUAGCUGAGGAAGGAUCCAGACCACACACUCUAGGGAGGGGGCCUGCAGGGACCCCAGUAGGCACAGGAGCUGUCUGAAAGGACACUCACUAGUGGCCCCAGCCAGCCUGGGGACCUGACAUGGACCCCAGCAGCUUCUGGGACCCUCUAGGAGUCCCCUUAUUUGGCAACCACAGAUAAGUACUAUCUCUACACUUUGGAAUCCAAGCAACAGACUUAUUAAGAAUCAACGUGUGAAUUUAGAACCAAAAUGGAAGGUAGAGAAUGCUUUCAAUGAAUGAUCAUGUAAAUGUUAUACAUUAGUCCUAUGAAAUGGAACAUUAACAACCAUGAAUGAACAUCUUA